ensembl:lncRNA
UUUUCUUUAUUGAUUGAUUUAUUUUGCAUGAGAGGUCGAAAAAACUGGGGAAGUCUGCUAUUUUUAGUUCAAAUAAUGAACAAGACCAACAAGUCCACAAUAAGACAGCAAGAAUCUCUACUAGAAAGAGAGAGUGGUAAAAAAAGAAAAACAGCACUCGGACACACCUGAAUCGAUUGCAGCUGCAGUGACAGACACUUGGUAAUAUUUUACCAGACGUCCGAUAUGAAAGUUGCUUCUAAAGACGAAUUCCCUUCCUGUGGACCAUUUAGUAUCCAAGCAUGAACAUGAGCUUUGCUGUUGUUUGACACUAAAUGCUUAGAGGAAGAUUGAGGAUGAAAAACGGGGAGUGUGGCGAGUGGGUGAAAGCAGACGACAGAGCACAUUCCACAAGAAAGUACAUUCAUCAGUAAACGUCUGCCUCCCAGGAACAGCGGCCACUUCAUCCAAAGGGUCUGCAGCCGCACGAGCACAUUUACAAGCUGAAUGAAUGAGAUCCAACCACUACAGUUAUUCACCACAGUGACUGGUAAACAAACAUACAACAAAACAGACUUCAGGGUGGAGUUUCCCACCUUCACACCAAAUGUCACAGGCUUUACUUACAGAAACAGACAGUUUUGUAACCUGAUUUCUAAACCAUUACUGGUGAUUUACAUGCAGGUCUUUCCUGAUUUGUAUUUACUAGUCUGUAAACUACCUACUUUUUGGACAAAGAAUCUGUAAACACUGAUGCAAACUGUGUCCAUGGUGCAUCCUGCUAACGUCCGGUAGUCGUCCAUAUGUACCACAGAAGGCGGCGAUCCAGACGCUGUUUGAUCUUCCUUGAAGUAAUGCCAACAUGUUUGCAUUUUAACUCCGUUUAUUGUGGUUCAGGACAGUCCAGCACAUUCACUACAGUUCAGUCAGAGUCUGCUGCUACACGGCUGUACAGUCACACUCGUUUAGUUCAGUAGGUUUAGGCAUCCUCUGAACUCCAUGUGUCGAGUAAACGGACUGCUCUAGGUCCCCAGAGCAAAUAUUACACCACCCUUAGUUCAGUCCUGAAAUAAAUAAACAUUUAAUAAAUUAAAGGUAGAUCAUAGAAAAGUGCAGUCCUUAUUCAUGUGGCCUAUACGACAGCUACAGGUAACAGUUUCUCCAUAAAUUAUAAUUCUACGCAUCGUUUUUCUUUGCGGAGAGACUUUUCCAUGUAAGUAACAGCAUCACACAACAUACUGAUGCAUGUGUGAUGAAGUCAUGUUAGAAAAACAAAGAAACAUCGUCCAUACUUAAAGUUUUAGAUCCUUACAGAUGCUUCGGUAACACUUUAUCAGUUUCUAGCUUGAGUGAGUCACAAAUACUGUGUCAUCAAAUAUGCAGAGGUGGCAAAACCACAGACAGUCGUCACUUUAGGAGAACGAUGGACACUCGUGUUGAAAACUGCUGAUUAAACUUCUUAACUCAAGUAAAAGUGAAAAUGCACAGAAAUGUAAACUGAGCCUCGUGACUGCUGAAACACCUAAAUAGUACAAGAACAUAGUCGGGGAUUAAAGUGGGAUUUGGCAGGUGUGAAACUCUCAGAUCAGUUGUACGGCUGGAGUGUGGGGAAACCAACAUCAGCUCCAUUCAUUUUGAUUGUGUACAUUUUGUCUACAGGCUGUGAUCGACUGACUUGUGUUGCUGCUGCUCUAAAAUGUACCGCUCUUUGUGAAUUUAACCAACUGAAUUAACAAGAUGUAAGCAGAGAUUACACAGACUCACAAGGCUCCCUCUGUAGCACAAAGAUGGAAGUCAGUGAGGGAGUCCAACCAGCAUCAGCCGAUGUAACAGUGAGCAUGAACGCAACAGGUUCUCUGCAGCAGGCAAACAUCGUGCACUACUUUAAACUUAAGCACAGUGCUGUAGAUGAACCGACUCAGCACUAAGCUGCUCUUUCAUGCACACAAAGUCAGAAUCCUUUGAUUUGUUUUGCAGAUGUGUGAGAAAACAAACGGCUGGAUCCAAAAACUCAAAACUACAUUUAAAUGUAAUUUCCAAUCUAGUUUUUUCACAUUUCUCCAUCUCUCAGUGAACGCAUUCAUUUCUCUCCCUGGGAAACAAAGCAGCUGUACUUGCUGUCCACACUGCACACAAACACUUUGUGUGUUUAUAUUUGUUGAGUUGUUUAAAGGUACAUUUAAAAUGAUCUGCCAGUUAAAACAUCGUUACUUCCUCUUCUGUAGUGCUAGCUACAUGCUGAAGUGCAUCGCAGCUCAUGGUAUCUACACCAAAAAUGUUUUUUGUUGCGGUCCACUUUACCCCCCCGAGUA